CCUACGGGGUGCUGCAGUGGGGAAUAUUGGACAAUGGGCGAAAGCCUGAUCCAGCCAUGCCGCGUGUGUUAAGAAGGCCUUCGGGUUGUAAAGCACUUUCAGUGGGGAAGAAAGCCUUGGGGCUAAUACCCUCGAGGAAGGACAUCACCCACAGAAGAAGCACCGGCUAACUCCGUGCCAGCAGCCGCGGUAAUACGGAGGGUGCGAGCGUUAAUCGGAAUUACUGGGCGUAAAGCGCGCGUAGGCGGUCUGAUAAGCCGGUUGUGAAAGCCCCGGGCUCAACCUGGGAACGGCAUCCGGAACUGUCAGGCUAGAGUGCAGGAGAGGAAGGUAGAAUUCCCGGUGUAGCGGUGAAAUGCGUAGAGAUCGGGAGGAAUACCAGUGGCGAAGGCGGCCUUCUGGACUGACACUGACGCUGAGGUGCGAAAGCGUGGGUAGCAAACAGGAUUAGAUACCCUAGUAGUC
rnacentral:rRNA from 1 species